rnacentral:rRNA from 1 species
AGGGGGAAAGNGNNGGGUUCGCNANAACCUCACGUUAUUCGAGCGGCCGACGUCUGAUUAGCUAGUUGGUGGGGUAAAGGCCUACCAAGGCGACGAUCAGUANCGGGUCUGAGAGGAUGAUCCGCCACACUGGAACUGAGACACGGUCCAGACUCCUACGGGAGGCAGCAGUGGGGAAUUUUNGNCAAUGGGGGCAACCCUGAUCCAGCCAUUCCGCGUGAGUGAAGAAGGCCUUCGGGUUGUAAAGCUCUUUCAGCUGGAAAGAANCGGUGCGCUCUAACAUAGCGUGCUAAUGA